UUGUGCACAUGCAGUCAUAGUGCACACACCCCUUUCACACCCAUCCUCUUCUAGCUGAAAUAGACACAGAUACACUUUUGCUGUUCAGAGACUCAACCCUAUUCAACAUGAACAAAGCUCUGGUCUGUGCUGUCUUCAUCUUUCUGGUGUUUUCUGUGUUCACAGAAGCCAUAGAGGGGAAUACUAAAACCCCAAAGGACAAGGUGAAUGCAACGAACGCCCCAAACAAGGCAUCGGGGGCAAGCACCUUGACACUUCCGUUUUUGCUGCAGUUGGGACUGAUGGUUGCACCUGCCUUACUUCAAACUCUGCUGUAGCACUUGCUAUGCUCUCCUUCCACAAGACUCUGCAGAACUUCUGCAAGAACGGGGGCAACAACAUAACAAUAGCUUUAAUGACUAGGCCUACUAUAUUUACCUGUACUGUAGACCCUAGCUGACCCGUUUCCAUGACUGAACACCAUGAUAUUCUUAACCCAAAUGACCUUGUAAUAAUCAUACAGAAACAGAAAUAAAGUUGUGUAUCUACA